rnacentral:rRNA from 1 species
CUGUGGGUUUAAAUAUUCUAAAGGCAUCAAAUCCCUUCUGAUCUUGGAAGCUAAGUAGGAUUAGCUCAGGUUAGUGCUUGGAUGGGAGAUCACCAGUGAAUAGGCUCUUAUUUCCAAGGG